rfam:Ovis aries breed Texel chromosome 1, whole genome shotgun sequence.
UCCCUGGUAGCUCAGUGGCAAAGAACCUGCCUGCCAAGCAGGAGACUCAGGUUCGAUCUCUGGGUUGGGAA